rnacentral:rRNA from 1 species
CAGUCGCCACGGGAAUACGUAGGGUGCAAGCGUUAAUCGGAAUUACUGGGCGUAAAGCGUGCGCAGGCGGUUUGUUAAGACAGAUGUGAAAUCCCCGGGCUCAACCUGGGAACUGCAUUUGUGACUGGCAAGCUAGAGUCUGGCAGAGGGGGGUGGAAUUCCGCGUGUAGCAGUGAAAUGCGUAGAUAUGCGGAGGAACACCGAUGGCGAAGGCAGCCCCCUGGGCCAACACUGACGCUCAUGCACGAAAGCGUGGGGAGCAAACAGGAUUAGAUACCCGCGUAGUCCCUGUCUCUUAUAC